rnacentral:rRNA from 1 species
UACGAAGGGGGCUAGCGUUGCUCGGAAUCACUGGGCGUAAAGCGCACGUAGGCGGAUUGCUAAGUCAGGGGUGAAAUCCUGGAGCUCAACUCCAGAACUGCCCUUGAUACUGGCGGUCUCGAGUCCGGGAGAGGUGAGUGGAAUUCCUGGUGUAGCGGUGAAAUGCGCAGAUAUCAGGAGGAACACCAAUGGCGAAGGCAGCUCGCUGGAACGGUACUGACGCUGAGGCGCGAAAGCGUGGGGAGCGAACAGG